rnacentral:piRNA from 1 species
AAAUGGAGCUUGAAGAUGAUUGG